rnacentral:snRNA from 1 species
GUGCUCGCUUGAGCAGCACAUAUACUAAAAUUGAAACAAUGCAGAGAAGAUUAGCAUGGCCCCUGUGCAAGGAUGACACGCAAAUUUGUGAAGCGUUCCAUAUUUUA